rnacentral:miRNA from 1 species
CUUGGCUUCUCCGCUCCGGCC